CCAUUAAUACCUAAUUUUUUUUUUUAUGUAUAAAUUAUAAAAUGCAAUUUAUUUUCAGAAACGCCAAUAAUCUUAGCAGUUGAGGCGUAUUUAUAAAUAUAAUUAAUAUACAGCGUCUUAACGAAAACAGGGAACACUUUAUCACUCAUUAUCCUGUAUAUAUUUUUAAAUUCUGUUUGUGGGACAUUCAACUAGACUAAUACUCCCUUUACACUACUACACAAUAUAGUCAAUAACCAUUCGGAUCGUUAUGUGAUAAAUUACAACUUUUUUAUUAGUAUAUUAUGAUUUAUGCGUAUAUAAUAUAUAUAUAAUAUAUAUCAAUUUUUAGUAUAACAAUGCAGUAUACUCACAACAAUCGUUAAACAAUUUUUAAUAACUCGAUAAUAUUACUUUUAACUAAAUAAAUUAUUAGGUUUAAACUAGACUGUAGUCACUCAGUCACUGAAUCUUUAAUUUGGGAUACCCACACUUUUGCACGAGCAAUUAUUGCUAUUCGCACCGUUACAAGUGUUGUAGUGGUAAUAGUAUAAUAUAAAUUAUAAUAUACACGGCCGUGUUUAAUACAUUCAAUUUGUGAUAACAUUUGUGUACAGGAAAUGUAACAAAUAAUAUAUUAUUACCGGUGCUGUUUGAACGAUAGUACGGAUGUUUUUCCAUUGCAUUCACUAUGUCAAUUGGAAACAGGCGGUUGAUUGAAUAUUAUAAUUCUUCUCUUUCUUCUUCUCCUUUCUCUACGAUUCUCUACGAUUCUCUAAGAGUUUUGGCCGCCAUCACAAUAUCCCACAAUUGCAAGAUUUGAACGCUGAUUAUUUGAUGGUAUCAUAACAAUUGAGUUUUUACAAAGCGGGGUUGUUGGCCCCGCGAUCAACCCCCAACCCAGAGGACCGAUUGAAUAUUAUUAGGUAUUAUUUAUUUAAUAUUAUAUAUUAUUAUUGUGUUACCGCAGCUAUAUAGUAUUAUGUUCUCACAAAAAUAGUUCGGUCGCAACCAAUUUCUGGCGAGUACCUAUAAUAUAUUCGCGUGUAAAUCACCUCAAAGUCACAUGAUGAAGACGAAGUCAUAGAAAAAACAUCGUAUUGUUUACGUGCCAUGAAGAAAAAUACAAAUAUUAUACGAGUGCAGUACGAAGUCAAGUGGUGGUGUUGUGCCCACGGCGGCACGACGUCGACACAAAUGAUAUUUGAGAUGGGUUACGUAAUCCAUUGAUAGAUUAGAACUAAUAACCACUAUACGAGUCGGCGGCAUUAUGAUAAUUAUUAUUUUUACGUCGCAGUCGUAGUCGUCGUGUGAAUUCCAGCUCGAAGAGAGCGCUGUUACAUUAUUUAUAUAGCUAUAAUUAUUAUUUUACUCGUAAACACCGCGUACUUACAACAAACCAUAUACUCGGUUUACGGUUUGUCUGAUUUUUCGCCGUCAUCGUAACCGUUGAAUGUAUUACUAUUGGAUUUGAACGACGGCGUAACCGUGUGAACAAUAUUUCCUUAAACUCACGAUCUAGUUCAGUUACUCUUAUUAGUAAGUUAUAGUUUCCAAUCGUAUCUAUAUAUAGUUGGAUAGAAAUCUAAUUAGCAAUUCGUAUUGAACUUUGGUCCAAAAACUACGCAAUAAUAUCACAAAAAAUAAACAGGAGAUCGAAGGACGCAGCAGCAAUCAAAUGGAAAACAAAUCGCGGUGCAUGCAGGACAGGGCGGGUUAUGAAGGUUUCGAGUUGCUGGGCUUCAAAUUCGAAAUGGAAGAUACUGCGUUUUCCAUGGUCGCCACUGCCUUGUUCAUGGUGCUCUUUUACUUUGGGCUUUAUAUCAGACAGUGCGACGACGAAAGCAAUGCACUUGGCAUAGAGAGAUUCAAUUGAUAUGCAGCUGCAGUGGUAUACUACACCUUGCGAAGUCCACCCGGGCAGCGCUCUCUAUGGUGUUUGAGUGGGGAGGGGGGGAAGUCACUACGUUUAUCUUUGCAAUACGAUUGUGGUACCUGAGAAACGCUAUAUAAUAUAGUAUAUAGGUGAUAUAGUAGGUGAUCUAGUAUCCACGGUUGAUUUAUACAGAGUACAAUUUUUUAUUUUUAAAAAAAUUAUGAAAACAAAUGGCGCACGGUCGGUGUGGUGGAAGAUCGUAUAAAAAAUAAAUAAAUAACAUUUCGUCGUUGGUGGGAGGCGUGGUGGGCUACACAUACAUUUUGAAAAUAAUAAAAAAAAAAAACAAUCAUAUUUUUAAUUUAUUUUUUAAGUCAAUGCCCGCGGAUGACUGAAUAUAUUUCGAUAUCGUAGAGCUGUCAAUAUUUUAUACGUUUAUAUGAAUACUAUCUAUUAUUAUUUAUUCACAACGGCAAAAUCGCAAAAAUUAUUUAGUGGUUAAUUUUUUUGAAAAUGUUGAUGUAGGUACCUAAUUCAAAAUUCAAAUGAUUAGUUUCUUAGUAGUUAUUAAAAUGUAUGUAUUAAGGAUAAUAAUAUAAUAUAAUAUAGUCCUUAAAACUCGUUUUACAAAUCAUUAAUGUUUUGAAAUUAAUAUUAAUGAAUACAAUUAUCUAAUCAAUGUAUAGUCCCCAUAUCUUAAAACCCAUUACCAUGGACCUUUUAUCCUUACAACACAAAGUUAAAUAACUCAAAAUAAUUCUUUCGCAUUUUGAUUCUGAUUCUACAUUUUUUUCAGAAAAAUUAUCCACUACAUAAUUUACAAUUGAAAGGGGGGGGGGGUGUCUUAUUUAAAAAACAGAAGUUUGCUUUCCUCAAGCAGUACAAAAAAUUUCAAGAAUUUGAAAAUAUGGGUUUUAAGUAUAUUUAAAAGUUCUGAAAACCAGAUUUUGAAUAACUACAUUAUUGAAAUAAAAAAAAGGUGGUGAGCAUGCUUGUAGGUAUAUACAUACCAUAUCGUAUACCCGUAAAGAGUACAAGGAAUACGUACUCAUAACAUAAGUAUUAUAUAAUAUAAUAUAUUAUAAUGUCUGUAAGAAAUAAUUGUCAAAACCCAACAUGUUUGUGAAUAUUGUAUACAUGUACCUAUAUUAUAUUGUUGAUCGUAUUUUUUUAAUAAUAUUAUAUAUUUUUGUUGUUGUA